rnacentral:rRNA from 1 species
GACAGAGGGUGCAAGCGUUGUUCGGAAUUACUGGGCGUAAAGCGCGUGUAGGCGGCCCUGCAAGUCGGAUGUGAAAUCCCACGGCUCAACCAUGGAAGUGCAUUCGAAACUGCAGAGCUAGAGUCCUGGAGAGGAAGGUGGAAUGCUUGGUGUAGAGGUGAAAUUCGUAGAUAUCAAGCGGAACACCGGUGGCGAAGGCGGCCUUCUGGACAGUGACUGACGCUGAGACGCGAAAGCGUGGGGAGCAAACAGG